GAUGAACGCUGGCGGCGUGCCUAAUACAUGCAAGUCGAGCGAACAGAUGAGGAGCUUGCUCCUCUGACGUUAGCGGCGGACGGGUGAGUAACACGUGGAUAACCUACCUAUAAGACUGGGAUAACUUCGGGAAACCGGAGCUAAUACCGGAUAAUAUAUUGAACCGCAUGGUUCAAUAGUGAAAGACGGUUUUGCUGUCACUUCUCGAUGGAUCCGCGCCGCAUUAGCUAGUUGGUAAGGUAACGGCUUACCGAGGCAACGAUGCGUAGCUGACCUGAGAGGGUGAUCGGCCACACUGGAACUGAGACACGGUCCAGACUCCUACGGGAGGCAGCAGUAGGGAAUCUUCCGCAAUGGGCGAAAGCCUGACGGAGCAACGCCGCGUGAGUGAUGAAGGUCUUCGGAUCGUAAAACUCUGUUAUUAGGGAAGAACAAAUGUGUAAGUAACUAUGCACGUCUUGACGGUACCUAAUCAGAAAGCCACGGCUAACUACGUG
rnacentral:rRNA from 1 species